CUCAGGACCCCAGACCCCAGUCGACAGUUUCCUGUCCUUUCACCAGCACUUUCCAUGACACAAGAGGAAGUCAGCUGAGCUGGCUGGGUUUUCCAUGCCGCUGCUUGGUGGAGGCAAAGGUGGGGGAGGGGGAAUGAGCCCCCUAGGCCAGUGUCAGAACCUUGGCGGCCUCCGAGGGACAGACUGGUGCCCUAUUGCCUUGGCGACACCAGAAAUGUAUCACACGAGGCUGGCGUACAACUCAGUGACAGAGGGUCAGCUGGCAAGGUCAAGGCUUCAGGCUCGAUUCGAAGUACUGCGAGGAGAGGUAAGGGAUGGGAGAGCGAUGUUGUAUUACAUCAUUGAAUUCCUUAUAAAUGGUGUGAAUUUUCUCUUCUGGAGUCUGUCUUCUGUUAAAUAAUCUGUUCCUAAAAUGGUGGCCACAGUUUUAGCUUCUGGAAACUUUAAAUUUAACUAGAUUCUUGAUAAUGCAGAGGGACAUUGUCCUUUCUCAGUACCAUCCAUUUGAAAAUUGCCACCUCUUCUGACUAUGCAAAAUUCCCCCUGGAUUUAUUUUCAAUUAUAGUAAGUAUGUAUCUUUGAGUUUUAAAUUAUAUUUCAUGUGUGCGUGCGUGCAUGCGUGCAUGUGUGUGUAUUGAUAUGUCAAAUGGAGGACAGAGAACAGCCUGAAGAAUUGAUUUCCAAAGCAACAAGAGCAAAACAAACAAACAAAACAAAAAGUGGUUCUCCUGUCUACCUUGUGGUUCCUAGGGAUGGAACUUAGGUCGUCAGGCUUUGUGGCAGACAUUUUUACCCACUGAGUCAUCUCUCUAGCUCCAAGUAUAUUUUAUUGUGAAUCUUUAAGGUCUACAACGUGAGGUUAUGAGACACACAUAUGCAAAUAAUAAAAUAAAUGGUCAUAAUCAAGUUAGCAGAUCCAUCCCUUCAUAGGUACCCUGUGUGUGUGUGUGUGUG
rnacentral:lncRNA from 1 species